GACUUCCUUUGGGCGCUCCGCUUCGUCGGGCACAGGGCCCCUUAUCUCUCUGCAGAACCAGUGGCAGCGCGAGGGCGGGGUCGUGGGCCUGUCCUCCCAGCUAGCGGCUACUGCAAGGCGGUCUGUCUGGUGUGAAGCGCCCCCUCUGGGCCGCGCUUGGAUCCCGCCCCCCGUACUCUUUGUGGGACGGUGGGAAAGUGGGUGGCUUGGGGUGGGGUUUGGAGAGAGACACGGCCCGGGGAGGAGUGCAGGGGGAGGCCUUAGAUCAACGAUGGCCCUGAGCAGAUCCACGGGGGUCAAGCCUGCGGCCACCACAGCCAAAAGAAUCCGGGAGAGAACGAUUUCUCUGAAAGAGAUGGGUGUGAAGGCACAUCCCAACCUUGUGCACCAGGCAGGGCCAUCCAGUCUCGGCCCCACGCUGGCCUCUGGCCGGCCGCCAGCCAGGGAAGAAGUGACUACCGACUUGGAGAGGCAGGCACGGAUGGUCAGCUCUAGCUGACCCCACAGGACAGUCCACAUGUGUCUCUGGGUGAGGAAGAGGCACAGAGAGGUUAUACCGUACCCUAGAUCUCACAGCUAGCCAGUGGGGCCAGCCUGGUGGUGCAGCGGUUGAGUGCACACGUUCCACUUCGGCAGCC